rnacentral:rRNA from 1 species
UACGUAGGAUCCAAGCGUUGUCCGGAUUUACUGGGUGUAAAGGGUGCGCAGGCGGACUGGUUAGUCUGGGGUGAAAUCUCAUCGCUCAACGGUGAAACUGCCUUAGAUACUGCCAGUCUUGAAUUAGGGAGAGGUUCGUGGAAUUCCGAGUGUAGCAGUGAAAUGUGUAGAUAUUCGGAAGAACACCAGUGGCGAAGGCAGCGAACUGGCCCUUAAUUGACGCUCAGGCACGAAAGCAUGGGGAUCAAACAGGG